CUCCGCCCCCUCCAGUCCCCUCCCUCCCCCCCAUGGCACGAUCGACGUGUCAGCCCCAAAAGUUCAUUUCCAGGCCCUGGGAGAGUCCCCUAUAAAGGUCCCGGGGCGUGCGUGGCACAGUGAGACGUGGCAGUGCGGGGCUGCAGCCGGGGCGCGCAGGCAUCUCCGCAGCCAAUUCCCUGAACUGAAACUUUCAAAAUGAAGAGGAAGAUAAGAGUGAGAAUGAAGAAUGCCUUGGAGAAAUCCAGUCAUAAAGUUUGAGGAGUAGAAAUAAUAGGAAAUAUUAAUAACUCUGGUCUCUUACAUAGGUCAGAAUUCAGACUGAAAUGAUGUAAAGUUACAAACCUGAGACAUAAGGGCUAUUAAAUUUGAAUCAAGAUUCACAGAUUUUUAAAUUAAUACAUAAUAAAAAUAUUUGCUUCUUCUCCUCUA